rnacentral:tRNA from 1 species
GGCCGCCUGGCGAAAUGGCAUCGCGUCUGACUACGAAGCCGUUAUCAGGAGAUUGCAGGUUCGACCCCUGCGGUGGUCA